UCAGGCUCAUUAACCCCUGAGCCACGAAGGGAAUUCCAGUAACUCUAAUUCUAAAUAAACAAAUAAUGUGGCUAACCCAUUCAGAGCUAGACCUUUGAUUGGCAUUACUGGAUUUAAAUCCAUACUAAUUAUAGGACAUAGGGUCUAUCAUUGUCUAUAUAUUGAAAAUAAAAAGAGAUGCAAAGAGGUUAAGUCACCUGCCCAAAGUAUGCAGGUGGUAGGCUGGAGGCCGCACCAUUAACCAUGGCAACUGCCUCUUCAAGCAUAAAAGGAAUACGGGGAGAGGGUUCUGGCCAUGGUGGCAGCCUUGCAGUUUCCCAGCUCUCCUGGAAUGCCCUGAACGCCUUGACCAGAGCCUCUCCAAAGCUCAGCCCUUCCAUAGAGGUCAUCCUGACUCUGCCCACCCUGGGACUCGGCAUCAGACAGAAAACCCUCUCGGAUUCAAUCCCAGCAUAACCGCCAUCUCUUAGCCACCUUUCGGAAAGUCACAGGCAAGCUGUCGUUGUUGGCUGCCUGGCCUCCUCUCUCAGCCUCGAUUUCCACCCUCCCUGACCCUCGUGGAGUGGCUAGAGAGGAGAACCCAGUGGUUUCUGUACCCAUCCCUCCUGUCUUCUCCCGCACAUCCUCAACUUUCUUUUCUUUCAGUCACACAGGCAGUGUCCCUGGCCCGCUCUUCUCAGACAACCCUUCAGGUCUCUCAAGAAUGUCCCCGUAUUCCUCUAAAGAGAUGACUCACCAGGAAAUCAGCUGUGGCUUUCACUGAUUCCCAAUGGGAAACAUCCACUGUGGCAGGAAAAAUACCAGGGGAGUGCGAGGACCUUAAAAUCCCAAACGACUCAGUUUGAGACAUAUGCAGUUAUUUUCUGGUGGAUCAAAUGUCCUGAUUAAUAAAUAGCUAUUACCAUAUAGAGACGUUACAUAGGCACUAACAAUUUUCAAAGGAUUAGAACAAAAUCAACUCCUACAAUAAUCCUGAAAAAAGGUCAGUGCCUGGACUGUACCAGUCAUGAAAGAGUUUGGAUAUCAUGUCUGUAUUUGAAGAGGCUUGAGACCAUCAGCAAAACUAGGCCAAGGCAGCUUAUUCAUUGCAUCAGAGCUGUCAGUGAGCUGCUUUAAGCUGCAUUUAACAGUUAACUUGAAACUGGCUGAAAUGAAGAAACGGAAUGAUUAUAACCGGAGGAAGAGAACCUGAAGGAGGAUGGAGGACAGCUGUGUUCAUAAGAGGAGAAAACAUGGCCCAGAAAUCAGCAACAAUUUCCCUCACGUUUAAGGAGGAAUUAAAGGCAGCUCUGAGUGGGGGAAAAAAGCAAGACUCCCGACCGUUGUUUUGAAUAAAAGUUGAUUUCCCCUCGGAUGUCAGUGGUAAUUUUCUCAUCAGUGCAGCCUCAAUAGCAUGUGCCUUUGGCCACACAAAAAGAAUUAUUUCCUCUGGUUUUAAAAGCAUCUUCCUUGAACUGGAAACACAUUUGCACAUGGACAGCCCUGGGCCUGGCGUGAAUGUUGUGUUUCACUCCCCGACCGGGUACUCCGGCUACCCUCUGAGCUCCGUCUGUCCUCAAGAAAUCAUUCUCCUUCUACCAGGAAGAAAACGUCUCCAGUAAGAAGGCGUCAGCAGCUCCAAGUGAGAAGAAGAACACAAAACCUGAUACAAGCAGCUUUGACUCUUCACAUCUCUGAGCCUUACCUUCCUGCACAAUAAAGUGGUGCUAAGCCAGGCAGGGGAGAUGAACAGGUGGAGUGUGACAAGCAUGGCGCCAGGGACUCAGCCAGAGGGCGCUCUCUCCCCAGACUCCUGCACCACCUGCCACUUGUCGGUUCCACUCCCUGCAGGAGGCUCUGGUCCACCAUCAUCUGAUCAUCCCCACAAUUCUCAAUCUAGAUGAGAGCUCAGCCGGGGAGGAUUUACCGUGAAGUCAGGAGGUUGAAACUUUGGGGCUUUUCCUUUUGGGCUCCCAUUGGGGAGAUGGGCGUUUUGCUGAGAACCGUAGCAUGUUCUGUGUGCAGAAGGGAAGAGAGGUUAUAAGCAAAAGGAUUUCCGCAUAAGCAUCCAUGGAAAAUUGCCUGAAAAGAUCUCCGAGGAAAGAAGCAUGAUCUCCAAGACUCUAGUAAUCUGCCAUGAUUUCUUUUCACAUUCCAAACAAAUAUUUACCUUCAUAUCUAAUUGCAUGUUUGUAUUCUGUAGUUGCUAAGAGGCGUCCCUAAAUUAUAUAAACUCACAAAACCUGGAUCCUUAUGAGACCUUAGUUCGCGUCUCUUACCAUCCCUACCUGGACCUCUGAUUGGAGCAACAGUGAGAUUGCUACCUCCAAUAAGUCCUCUCCAAUAAGAAACCACUCUAAAUUAGAUCGUGUACACCAGCAGAGAUGCUGUGACCUUGAACAUCCCCUCACGGGUUAUAUUUCUGCUCCCUGGGCCUGCACAGAAUAUGUGCUCCUUCUGAGCUUGCUUUCUAGGCCAGGCACCCAGCCUUGAGUUUUCUCCCCUCUGUUUGCCUCCCCAGGUCACUGCAGUCCCCCCUUCAGACUGGUGCCCAGGGCUGAGGGGCCUGAUUAACCAGCAUGUGGCAGGCUUGUUGUCACCACCUCCAGUAAUGCCGGGCAGAGUUUGUCCUUGAAAAAGUGUCAUCACCCUAAAAAAGCCCAGGUCAAAAGCAAUUUUCCAUAAGAAGGUGAUGAACUUCCCUGUGGCACUUCCAGGGCCAAGACUGCUUCAGCCAAUCCACUGUCCAUCAGUUGGGAGCCAGCCGAUGGCACAGACCCAAUUCUGCCUACUGGAAGGUCAGGGCUGAUGUGGGGACAUAGUCAGGUCCUAACGUGCAGGGAGGUCAGCCUGCAGAAGGAGCAGAGAGAAUGGUGCCAUCUUUUGCUUGCUUUUGGGGGGGGGCUCACAGUCUGCUGUCCACACUGCCUUCUCUGGGUUCCUUUCAUUGCAGCCUUAACAACCGGCCUAUCAGUGCCUUCCCUCAUGUUAUUGAAAGGGCACUUUGUGGAUAGGUGUUCAGAGGGAGAGGUUGCUUCCUCUGCUCUUGUCUACCCACAGUUCCCUCCAACCCCCAGUCAAAGGAGGAAUGAAGCCACACUGCCUCCUAAAAGCUGCCUGGGACUGGAAGGGGCCUUCUCGAUAUCUUCCUCCCAGGAUUUCCUGAUACACAAGGACCCUCUGCUGAUGUAACAAAAGGUACCAGAAGCCAGUUUUGUAGUAGGGAUAACUGGCCAAAUAGGCAUGACACCUGAUAAAGCUGUGAUGUAGUCAGGGUGCCAGUGCUUCCAGGCACCACUGACACACACCCCGCCCCCCUCCGUACUCCCGUACUGCAGUGGCAGCCUGUGGACUUUCUCUGGUGGUGCAGGCCAUUACAACUAAUCAAAGCGUAAAUAAAAAGGAUGUCCUAAUUGAA